UACGUAGGGUGCAAGCGUUGUCCGGAAUUAUUGGGCGUAAAGGGCUCGUAGGCGGUCCGUCACGUCGGGAGUGAAAACUUGGGGCUUAACCCCAAGCCUGCUUCCGAUACGGGCAGACUAGAGGUAUGCAGGGGAGAACGGAAUUCCUGGUGUAGCGGUGAAAUGCGCAGAUAUCAGGAGGAACACCGGUGGCGAAGGCGGUUCUCUGGGCAUUACCUGACGCUGAGGAGCGAAAGUGUGGGGAGCGAACAGG
rnacentral:rRNA from 1 species